rnacentral:lncRNA from 1 species
CGCCCCGAAUCUGCUGGCGGUGGCGGUGGCGGCGGCUCCUCGGGGUCCCCAGCCUUCGUUAGGGCGGGUGGGAUUUGGCGAGGGGAGGGCAGUCCCCGGGGAUGGGGAGCGGUGGCCCAGCGGUGGCCCACAAGGACGGGGGCGGAAUUGUCCUAAUGGCAGACCCCGCGUCUCGCGCUCGUGGAGGUGGCUCUGGAGGGCGCCGGCCCCGGAGACCUUGAUUAGAGGCUCCUGACGUUUCCACCCCAGAGAGGCUGGUCCCGCGACGGUCCCACCGGAGUCCGCUCGGCCGCUGCUGGUCUUGGGGUCCCGCACGGGCUUCCCGGCUCCGGUCCACUGGACCAGGGUAUCAGCCACACAGACCUCCAGGGUUCUCCCAGAGGGGCCUGGAAGCCUCAGGGCCUCUGGCAAGAAGACCUGGAUGUGGGACUUGUGCAGGCGUGCAGCUUCUGGCAGAGAAGGCACGUCCUUGUCAAGAAAGCUCCGGUUGUGGGGGGGCUAUGGGCGCAUCUGGGCCCUUCAAGGAGGAAGCUCCUGAGAUGUACUUUCCUCUUUAACUGGGCUUUUCAGGCGUGCUCUUUGUGCCUCGCCUCCCUGUUUGGAUCACGCAAUCUCCUUUUCAGUAUCAGCCGCGAUUCUCAUAAGUUUAUUGCUUUCUAAAGUGUUGGAUCAUUUCUACCCCUUGUUGCUGAAUUAGCCACCUCCUCGGGGGCCAUGGCGGUGUUACGAAGUGAUGCGUUUCCCUGCUCCACAUUUCCCCCUCAUGCUUAGAGCCCAUAUUUUAAAAAAUCUCUGUGGACUUGCCAGCUUCAUCCUAUAAUUUCUUUUUUUUUUUUUUUUUUAAUACUUUUUCUUAUUAAGAUGUAAUCCACAUACCAUGAAAUUCACCCUUUUGUCAUGACAGUUCAGUGGUUUUUAAUAUAUUCACAAUUAUAUAUAAUAUAUUGAAUAUAUUCAGUAUAUUCAUCACCACAGUCAGUUUUAGGACCUUUUGAUCACCUGAACAGAAACCCCGGACUUAUUAGCAGCCCCUCCCCACCCCCUCCUCCCACAGCUCCUGAGAACACCUGAUCUACUUGCAGUCU